rnacentral:tRNA from 1 species
GUACAAGUAGUUUAAGAAAAAUGUUAAUUUGUGGGGUUAAAAAUGCUUGUUGUUUAAGUCUUGUACA